UUUCCUGGUAUCCUGGUGGGCCAGUCCGACACUGAUCCCAAUAGCAUUGUCUUACCACCAAUAAGGAUUAAUUGCAUUUUAGUUACCGUCAGUGCUGCAUUUAGGUCUGGUGACACCCUAGGUACCGGGCCUUAAUACUUCUCCUCCAUAUGCGGGGGUCACAGCCAUGGCACACAGCGAACCCCCUCACACGCACACAUUUUACACUCCACCCCCGUGCUUCGGCACCGGAUUUCCGAACAAAAGUUGGCCAUACAUGGUAAGAGUGGAUCUUCUCCCGAUAUCCCCACCUACGGGUGGGGGAUACCAGGCUAAUUCGGUCAUUUGGCCCUGGGAAAAGUAAGAAAAAAUGUAUAUAUCUCUGAACGGACUUCUUGUGUGCUCUCACAAUAAUUAGGAAACAAAGUAGAGGUGGAUGCUGGCCAUAUUCAUGCAGUGCUCCACUGCCAUAACACCAUGGGGGAAAAAGG